rnacentral:rRNA from 1 species
AAAGGAAUUGACGGGGGCCCGCACAAGCGGAGGAACAUGUGGUUUAAUUCGAUGAUACGCGAGGAACCUUACCCGGGCUCGAACGGUAGCGGAAUACGUCAGAGAUGACGUAGUCAGCAAUGACUGCUAUCGAGGUGCUGCAUGGUUGUCGUCAGCUCGUGCCGUGAGGUGUCGGCUUAAGUGCCAUAACGAGCGCAACCCUUGUCGUUAGUUGCCAGCGGGUAAAGCCGGGAACUCUAACGAAACUGCCACCGUAAGGUGUGAGGAAGGGGGGGAUGACGUCAAAUCAGCACGGCCCUUACGUCCGGGGCGACACACGUGUUACAAUGGGGGGUACAGAGGGCAGCUACAUAGCGAUAUGAUGCUAAUCUCGAAAACCUCUCUCAGUUCGGAUUGGAGUCUGCAACUCGACUCCAUGAAGUUGGAUUCGCUAGUAAUCGCACAUCAGCCAUGGUGCGGUGAAUACGUUCCCGGGCCUUGUACACACCGCCCGU